UACGGGGGGUGCGAGCGUUGUCCGGAAUCACUGGGCGUAAAGGGCGCGUAGGUGGCGUGAUAAGGGUGUGGUGAAAGCCCGGGGCUCAACCCCGGGUCUGCCAUGCCGACUGUCAGGCUCGAGUGCUGUAGGGGCAGGCGGAAUUCCGGGUGUAGCGGUGGAAUGCGUAGAGAUCCGGAGGAACACCCGUGGCGAAGGCGGCUCUCUGGGACGGUACUGACGCUGAGACGCGAAAGCGUGGGGAGCGAACAGG
rnacentral:rRNA from 1 species